ACUGCUGUUUAGUUUGAACCCACAUGAUUUAAGUUCUGUUAGUUUUGUUGCAGCAGCGAUAAUAAUGUAGGCCGAGCUUGUUUGAGGGUUUCUCAGUGGGGUUCCAGCCUCAGAACCUUCUCCAGCUCUGGACUUUGAAGAUCCUCACAUGUUUGCAGCUCCACAGUCACUUUGAUAUUAAUAAAUGCAGGUGAAUGGACACAGAAGUAAUGUUCUCCACAUCCUAAAUAUUACUGCUGGAAGUCAAAUGUGCUCCAGUGAGUCAUUGUGCAGAAAGUUUCUUCUCAAGAUUUCUGUACUUCAUGCCAGACUAGAAUUCUGGAUUACUAUUACCUUUACUCAAGUUAAGUACUCGUUUAUCUACAGCUCUCAAGACUUUUCUUUUACCACAUAUCAUCAUCAUCAUCAUCAUCAUCAUCAUCUCUGUUUUAUAAGCUUCUAAAGCAACCUACAUAUCAGAAAAACAGAACUUCCAGGAAAACUCAACAAACCCUCCAAUAUCUCAUCUCAUCUCAAAUUCCAAGCUCCUAGUCAAAAUAUGCUCAAAGUUAUUCUUGUUAUUAUUGAAAAACUUCACACUGGUGAUCAGUAAAUGUUCCAUGGCUUCUCCUCGACCUUUCUUCAGCAUUCAGCAUGGUCGGUCACCUGACUCUCCUGUAAAUGCUCUCUUCUAAUUAGUGUAACAGCAUGAUGGAGCUUUACAUCUAACAUAGAGGGAGAGUUGUGUCAGGUGACAUGGAGAUCUUCUGGCUUUAUGCAUACUUUCCAUUGGUGAUGUCUCUUCUCCUCUCCUCACCUCUUCUCUUGUCUUCCACUCCCCUUCUCUCCUUCUCCCCCCCCCAUAGACACUCAGCAUUUGCUUAGAUCCCAACAUGUGUGGUGAACAUCGUAAAAUUAAAAGAAUCCCUGGACCUGCUAA